rnacentral:rRNA from 1 species
GCUCAGGAUGAACGCUGGCGGCGUGCCUAAUACAUGCAAGUCGAGCGAAUGGAUUAAGAGCUUGCUCUUAUGAAGUUAGCGGCGGACGGGUGAGUAACACGUGGGUAACCUGCCCAUAAGACUGGGAUAACUCCGGGAAACCGGGGCUAAUACCGGAUAACAUUUUGAACCGCAUGGUUCGAAAUUGAAAGGCGGCUUCGGCUGUCACUUAUGGAUGGACCCGCGUCGCAUUAGCUAGUUGGUGAGGUAACGGCUCACCAAGGCAACGAUGCGUAGCCGACCUGAGAGGGUGAUCGGCCACACUGGGACUGAGACACGGCCCAGACUCCUACGGGAGGCAGCAGUAGGGAAUCUUCCGCAAUGGACGAAAGUCUGACGGAGCAACGCCGCGUGAGUGAUGAAGGCUUUCGGGUCGUAAAACUCUGUUGUUAGGGAAGAACAAGUGCUAGUUGAAUAAGCUGGCACCUUGACGGUACCUAACCAGAAAGCCACGGCUAACUACGUGCCAGCAGCCGCGGUAAUACGUAGGUGGCAAGCGUUAUCCGGAAUUAUUGGGCGUAAAGCGCGCGCAGGUGGUUUCUUAAGUCUGAUGUGAAAGCCCACGGCUCAACCGUGGAGGGUCAUUGGAAACUGGGAGACUUGAGUGCAGAAGAGGAAAGUGGAAUUCCAUGUGUAGCGGUGAAAUGCGUAGAGAUAUGGAGGAACACCAGUGGCGAAGGCGACUUUCUGGUCUGUAACUGACACUGAGGCGCGAAAGCGUGGGGAGCAAACAGGAUUAG